rnacentral:rRNA from 1 species
GAUGAACGCUGGCGGCGUGCCUAAUACAUGCAAGUCGAGCGGACGGACGAGAAGCUUGCUUCUCUGAUGUUAGCGGCGGACGGGUGAGUAACACGUGGAUAACCUACCUAUAAGACUGGGAUAACUUCGGGAAACCGGAGCUAAUACCAGAUAAUAUUUUGAACCGCAUGGUUCAAAAGUGAAAGACGGUCUUGCUGUCACUUAUAGAUGGAUCCGCGCUGCAUUAGCUAGUUGGUAAGGUAACGGCUUACCAAGGCAACGAUGCGUAGCCGACCUGAGAGGGUGAUCGGCCACACUGGAACUGAGACGCGGUCCAGACUCCUGCGGGAGGCAGCAGUAGGGAAUCUUCGGCAAUGGGCGAAAGCCUGGCGGAGCAACGCCGCGUGAGUGAUGAAGGUCUUCGGAUCGUAAAACUCUGUUAUUAGGGAAGAACAUCUGUGUAAUUAACUGUACACAUCUUGACGGUACCGAAUCAGAAAGCCCCGGCUAACUACGUG